UACAGAGGGGGCAAGCGUUGUUCGGAAUUACUGGGCGUAAAGGGCGCGUAGGCGGCCUUCUAAGUCGAACGUGAAAUCCCCGGGCUCAACCCGGGAACUGCGUCCGAUACUGGAAGGCUUGAAUCCGGGAGAGGGAUGCGGAAUUCCAGGUGUAGCGGUGAAAUGCGCAGAUAUCAGGAGGAACACCGGUGGCGAAGGCGGAUCUCUGGGCCAUUACUGACGCUGAGGAGCGAAAGCGUGGGGAGCGAACAGG
rnacentral:rRNA from 1 species